UGCCAGCCGCCGCGGUAAUACGGAGGAUGCGAGCGUUAUCCGGAUUUAUUGGGUUUAAAGGGAGCGUAGGUGGAAUGUUAAGUCAGCUGUGAAAGUCCGCGGCUCAACCGCGGAAUUGCAUUUGAUACUGGCAUUCUUGAGUGCGGCAGAGGUAGGCGGAAUUCGUGGUGUAGCGGUGAAAUGCUUAGAUAUCACGAAGAACUCCGAUUGCGAAGGCAGCUUACUGGACCGGCACUGACACUGAUGCUCGAAAGUGUGGGUAUCAAACAGGAUUAGAUA
rnacentral:rRNA from 1 species